ACUUGAUUAUGCUCUUGUAAGUGAUGAGUUUGAUGUUAACCGUGCACUCGUAACCUGUUGUCCGAGUUCAUCGCAGCAACCACGCGAGCUGAAGGCCAUAACUCCAUGUCGUCUUGCCCUUGAGGAUAAAGUUUUGGGUAACAAAGUGAUAGUGGCAGAUGGUAUGGCGUACCCAUUGGAUGGUUCGUUGCACCAACACUUUAGAUCGAUGAAGCCUAGUCAUUAUAAGGUCCAAGUUGAUUGUAUUUACGACGGACAUGAUGAUGACACUCUUCCGGUACCUACUGGAGAUGGAUUCAAUAACUUAGGCAGGGCUCUUGCUAGUUUUGUGCAAUGGCCAAUUCACUUGGUGAUUUUCGAAGAAGACGAGGAGUACUCUACUCCACG